rnacentral:rRNA from 1 species
GGAGGAAAGUAGGGGAUCGCAAGACCUUGCGCUAAAGGAGCGGCCGAUGUCUGAUUAGCUAGUUGGUGGGGUAAAGGCUUACCAAGGCAACGAUCAGUAGUUGGUCUGAGAGGACGGCCAACCACACUGGGACUGAGACACGGCCCAGACUCCUACGGGAGGCAGCAGUGGGGAAUUUUGGACAAUGGGCGAAAGCCUGAUCCAGCCAUGCCGCGUGAGUGAAGAAGGCCUUCGGGUUGUAAAGCUCUUUUAGUCGGAAAGAAAGAGUUGCAAUGAAUAAUUGUGAUUUAUGACGGUACCGACAGAAGAAGCACCGGCUAACUACGUGCCAGCAGCCGCGGUAAUACGUAGGGUGCGAGCGUUAAUCGGAAUUACUGGGCGUAAAGGGUGCGCAGGCGGUCUUGCAAGUCAGAUGUGAAAGCCCCGGGCUUAACCUGGGAAUUGCGUUUGAAACUACAAGGCUAGA